rnacentral:rRNA from 1 species
UACGUAGGGGGCAAGCGUUAUCCGGACUUACUGGGUGUAAAGGGAGCGUAGACGGCUGCGCAAGUCAGAAGUGAAAGCCCGGGGCUCAACCGCGGGACUGCUUUUGAAACUGUGUAGCUAGAGUGCAGGAGAGGUAAGUGGAAUUCCUAGUGUAGCGGUGAAAUGCGUAGAUAUUAGGAGGAACACCGGUGGCGAAGGCGGCUUACUGGACUGUAACUGACGUUGAGGCUCGAAAGCGUGGGGAGCAAACAGG